rnacentral:rRNA from 1 species
AUUGAACGCUGGCGGCAGGCCUAACACAUGCAAGUCGAGCGGAUGAAGGGAGCUUGCUCCUGGAUUCAGCGGCGGACGGGUGAGUAACGCCUAGGAAUCUGCCUGGUAGUGGGGGAUAACGUCCGGAAACGGGCGCUAAUACCGCAUACGUCCUGAGGGAGAAAGUGGGGGAUCUUCGGACCUCACGCUAUCAGAUGAGCCUAGGUCGGAUUAGCUAGUUGGUGGGGUAAAGGCCUACCAAGGCGACGAUCCGUAACUGGUCUGAGAGGAUGAUCAGUCACGCUGGAACUGAGACACGGUCCAGACUCCUACGGGAGGCAGCAGUGGGGAAUAUUGGACAAUGGGCGAAAGCCUGAUCCAGCCAUGCCGCGUGUGUGAAGAAGGUCUUCGGAUUGUAAAGCACUUUAAGUUGGGAGGAAGGGCAGUAAGUUAAUACCUUGCUGUUUUGACGUUACCAACAGAAUAAGCACCGGCUAACUUCGUG